GACGAACGCUGGCGGCGUGCUUAACACAUGCAAGUCGAACGGUAAGGCCCUUCGGGGUACACGAGUGGCGAACGGGUGAGUAACACGUGGGUGAUCUGCCCUGCACUUCGGGAUAAGCCUGGGAAACGGGGUCUAAUACCGGAUAGGACCACUGCCUGCAGGGGUGGGGGUGGAAAGCUUUUGCGGUGUGGGAUGGGCCCGCGGCCUAUCAGCUUGUUGGUGGGGUGAGGGCCUACCAAGGCGACGACGGGUAGCCGGCCUGAGAGGGUGACCGGCCACACAGGGACUGAGAUACGGCCCAGACUCCUACGGGAGGCAGCAGUGGGGAAUAUUGCACAAUGGGCGCAAGCCUGAUGCAGCGACGCCGCGUGAGGGAUGACGGCCUUCGGGUUGUAAACCUCUUUCAGCACCGACGAAGCGCAAGUGACGGUAGGUGCAGAAGAAGGACCGGCCAACUACGUGCCAGCAGCCGCCGUAA
rnacentral:rRNA from 1 species